rnacentral:misc_RNA from 1 species
GAUGAAGAACGUAGCGAAAUGCGAUAAGUAAUGUGAAUUGCAGAAUUCAGUGAAUCAUCGAAUCUUUGAACGCACAUUGCGCCCGCCAGUAUUCUGGCGGGCAUGCCUGUCCGAGCGUCAUUUCAACCCUCGAACCCCUCCGGGGGUCCGGCGUUGGGGAUCGGGAACCCCUAAGACGGGAUCCCGGCCCCGAAAUACAGUGGCGGUCUCGCCGUGGCCCUCCUCUGCGCAGUAGUAAAACACUCGCAACAGGAGCCCGGCGCGGUCCACUGCCGUAAAACCCCCCAACUUUUUAUAGUUGACCUCGAAUCAGGUAGGACUACCCGCUGAACUUAAGCAUAUCAAUAAGCGGAGGA